UCUGCACAGCUUGGGGGCACCUGGCAGCGGGAGCGUCCCCGCUGUCCUGUGUCCUCCCGGCCUCCGCCUGCCCCGGGGGAGCGCAGGAUCCUGGGCUGUGUCCCCCGGUGCCCUGGGCUCCGGGGCCUGCG
rnacentral:miRNA from 1 species